UCGAUAUUUUAUCGAUAAAAUGAUUUUUCUCUACUUCUUAAGAAAUAAACGUCUAUCGAGUAUAUAUUACUAAAGCCUGUGAGUUUUUUUUCUUGUGAUGUUAUUUUAAUUUAACUUAAACUACAUUACGCUAUGUUUUAUGCAAUAAAACAGUAAAGAGGUUUUCUAUAGGUGAAUUUUUACCUAUGUCAUUCGCGCGUUUGUCAAAUUGACUGAUGUGUAUGUGUACAUAGAGUGAGGUUAAUUUUGGGUUUAUUAUUGUUGAAUAGAUAAGUUUAUUUUGGCAGAGAAGAGAAAACGAGGAUAAACCUUUCUUGCAGAAGAAAAAGACAAGCUAGUGAAAUUGCUGACGUCUCAUAGAGACACAAUAUUAAACAAAAAACGGAUGGGACCACGAACGAAGCCAAAAACAAAGCUUGGAUCCAGUUACAAAUAGUUUUAAUGCGAUAGGAACCGUUUACAGUUUCAGGUGGUGCGAGAAAUUGGAAAGACGUGUAAAAACAUGCUGCGCCCAGCCCACCUCAAAUGAGGGUUUUCUAAAAUGGCGUCCACCAGGUGGCGCACUGAGUCGUCAGGUCCAGGUAACUGUCAAAGUGCUUAUCUUUACUAUGAAUAGUGAACGAUUUUAGUGGUUUUUUUAUUUUAUAAUUAAAGCACUGCAUUAUUGUUUUACUAUUGAGGUUGAGUAAAUAAAAAAAACUAAAUCAUAUUGUGUUAACAAAUUUUUCAACUACCAGUGACUUUUGCACCCUCUCUCUUAGCUCAAUUUUUAGUUCGGAAACCUUAUUCUGACCGUACUCCAUAAUAAAAUCAAUAACACUUCCAAUAUAACAGAAUUUCAAUAAACAAUAAGUUCGGCACCUACAAUUCCAUACUAUUUGACAGCUGUUUGGACCAGACGCAUACGUGGCGCCACCCGGUGGCAGAAAAAAUUUCAAAAACCCUCAUUGAAUUGGUGCAGGAGGAUGAUGAUAAUGUUUGGUACAUCAUAUGAGGACUAAUAUUAAAAUAUUUGUUUACUAUCUUUGUUUUAAUUUAUAUAUUUUAUUAUGUUCAAUAUUAGCCUACUUCUUACCUCCAGAGGGUAUCCCCUAUCACCUAGGAGAUAGGCUCCUCCAUAUUCACCAUUUUCGAAUCAUUGGUAUCUACUGCAGUUUUGGUAUUUAAGGCCAAUUCAAACCUGAGCGAUAUUCGCUGCCGCUGUGGGUAGAGGUAGAUACCGCACGGGUUUCGCUCAGGUAUUUAGUAUCAAGUAUAGUUACCGGCACGGAUAUUGAGCUCUCGGCGGAAGAGUGGGGAUCGCUUUGCGCACUGUACACAAGGCAAUAAACCAAUAAAUGGCUUCUGCGCAGGUUAAGGUCAGGGCUCAAUAUCCGUGCCAAUAACUAUACCUACCGCGGCUAGAGCGACCUGCCGCUGUGGGUAGAAGUACAUACCGCGCGGCAGCAGCGGCAUACGUCCCGAACAUCAACAGUAAUAUUAUCGCAUACCCACAGGGUUUUCUCUGCCGUAGACGGUAGCGAAUACCGCUUAGGUCUGAAUAGGCCUAUAGUAAGGCGGCCAACCGUCCCGCAUUCUGCGGGACCGUCCCGCAAUGCUUGACGAAAUCCCGCUUUGAAAUUAAUAGUAAAAUAGUCCCGCAAAACGUUGUAUGCGUCCCGCAUGUCCCGCAUCCCUAUUUUUCUACCACACUUCUACACAACACCCACCUGCGCGCACGCUCAACAGUGCAGGAACACAGAUUACCUAUAAUAUAAUCUCGUUCUCUUUAUUUCUACUGAACUCGUGAGGCCUAAUGAUUUUGAAAAUAAGACAUUAGUGCACGCUGUGACACGAUAUUGAUAGGUUAAAUUAUAGCUUUUUGCUUACGGUU